CUCCGUUGCCUUCUCUUUCGCUCCUUUUUCCACUCACGCUCGAUAUCGUGCUGUUCGGAGAUGAAACCCCAGCUUCUUCUUCACAAUCUGCCGUCGAUGGCAAUAUGUUCAUGUCGAUUCCUCUAAAAAUUGACCCCAUCUCCGCCCGGAAUGAUUCCGAGUUAUGAUCUGCGUGCAAAAAAACCAUUUCAUAUAAAUAAAGUGCAGGUGAAAACUAUUGCCAAAAAAAGCUACGUCAAACAUUGAAAAAGCAAUACAAAAGCAUUUAUAAGGGGAAAAUGAUACUGAAGCAUCGUUUGUUUCUCGGGAAAAAAAGAAGAGAUCUGAAAGGUGAUAUAUGUCCCAUGCAAAGACAGAAAGUAGGAGAAGAAACAAACCUGAAGGAGGAGAAGAAUCAUUCCAUGAGUGUUUGUUAAGGGUUAAAGUAGAAGGAGAAGAGCAAGAAUUAGCAGAGGAAGGAACAAGCGAAGGCCUAAGAUUUCGCUGUAAAGAGUGGUGAUUCUGAGGGAAACUCAAGCUCAGACUCAAACCCAGAUCUUCUUUUUCCGCCAUCUUUGAUUUUUUUUUUUUUUUUCUCUUUUGCCAAACACACUUUUUCCUUGUAUGUAGUUUAGAUUGU